rnacentral:lncRNA from 1 species
UAAUUUAAUUUGAAUGAUAACCUCAUUUUGCUCCCUUAAAUAUGGACGAUUAUGGAGAAUAGUGAUCAAUGACUCAUCUGAUAAGGUCAUGCUUGGGAGAUGCCACGAGGCUUGAGAAGAUGUGCCACGUGGGCACAUUCACUUUGUGAAGCAUUGCAGAAAUUUAUUUUCACUCUAAAGAAAGCAAAUCAUUAACUGCUUGGCCAUUAACUCUUAAAAAGCAUCGAUUG